rnacentral:rRNA from 1 species
GCUGUCGGCGUGCUUAACACAUGCAAGUCGAACGGAAAGGCCCUGCUUUUGUGGGGUGCUCGAGUGGCGAACGGGUGAGUAACACGUGAGUAACCUGCCCUUGACUUUGGGAUAACUUCAGGAAACUGGGGCUAAUACCGGAUAGGAGCUCCUGCUGCAUGGUGGGGGUUGGAAAGUUUCGGCGGUUGGGGAUGGACUCGCGGCUUAUCAGCUUGUUGGUGGGGUAGUGGCUUACCAAGGCUUUGACGGGUAGCCGGCCUGAGAGGGUGACCGGCCACAUUGGGACUGAGAUACGGCCCAGACUCCUACGGGAGGCAGCAGUGGGGAAUAUUGCACAAUGGGCGGAGGCCUGAUGCAGCAACGUCGCGUGCGGGAUGACGGCCUUCGGGUUGUAAACCGCUUUCGCCUGUGACGAAGCGUGAGUGACGGUAAUGGGUAAAGAAGCACCGGCUAACUACGUGCCAGCAGCCGCGGUGAUACGUAGGGUGCGAGCGUUGUCCGGAUUUAUUGGGCGUAAAGGGCUCGUAGGUGGUUGAUCGCGUCGGAAGUGUAAUCUUGGGGCUUAACCCUGAGCGUGCUUUCGAUACGGGUUGACUUGAGGAAGGUAGGGGAGAAUGGAAUUCCUGGUGGAGCGGUGGAAUGCGCAGAUAUCAGGAGGAACACCAGUGGCGAAGGCGGUUCUCUGGGCCUUUCCUGACGCUGAGGAGCGAAAGCGUGGGGAGCGAACAGGCUUAGAUACCCUGGUAGUCCACGCUGUAAACGGUGGGUACUAGGUGUGGGGUCCAUUCCACGGGUUCCGUGCCGUAGCUAACGCUUUAAGUACCCCGCCUGGGGAGUACGGCCGCAAGGCUAAAACUCAAAGGAAUUGACGGGGCCCCGCACAAGCGGCGGAGCAUGCGGAUUAAUUCGAUGCAACGCGUAGAACCUUACCUGGGUUUGACAUGGAUCGGGAGUGCUCAGAGAUGGGUGUGCCUCUUUUGGGGUCGGUUCACAGGUGGUGCAUGGCUGUCGUCAGCUCGUGUCGUGAGAUGUUGGGUUAAGUCCCGCAACGAGCGCAACCCUUGUUCACUGUUGCCAGCACGUUAUGGUGGGGACUCAGUGGAGACCGCCGGGGUCAACUCGGAGGAAGGUGGGGAUGACGUCAAGUCAUCAUGCCCCUUAUGUCCAGGGCUUCACGCAUGCUACAAUGGCUGGUACAGAGAGUGGCGAGCCUGUGAGGGUGAGCGAAUCUCGGAAAGCCGGUCUCAGUUCGGAUUGGGGUCUGCAACUCGACCUCAUGAAGUCGGAGUCGCUAGUAAUCGCAGAUCAGCAACGCUGCGGUGAAUACGUUCCCGGGGCUUGUACACACCGCCCGUCAGGUCAUGAAAGUUGGUAACACCCGAAGCCGGUGGCCUAACCGUUGUGGGGGAGCCGUCGAAGGUGGGACUGGUGAUU